GCGCUUGCUUCGGCAGCACAUUUCCUGAAACUGGACGAUACAGAGAAGAUCACUACCGCCCCUGCACAAGGACAACACAGAAAUCUGUGAAAUGUUUCACAUGUUU